GACAGAGGGUGCAAACGUUGUUCGGAAUUACUGGGCGUAAAGCGCGUGUAGGCGGCUCUGCAGGUCGGAUGUGAAAUCCCUCGGCUCAACCAAGGAAGUGCAUUCGAAACCAUAGAGCUUGAGUGUCGGAGAGGAAGGCGGAAUUGUCGGUGUAGAGGUGAAAUUCGUAGAUAUCGACAGGAACACCUGCGGCGAAAGCGGCCUUCUGGACGAACACUGACGCUGAGACGCGAAAGCGUGGGGAGCAAACAGG
rnacentral:rRNA from 1 species